rnacentral:rRNA from 1 species
UACGAAGGGGGCUAGCGUUGCUCGGAAUCACUGGGCGUAAAGGGUGCGUAGGCGGGUUUUUAAGUCAGAGGUGAAAUCCUGGAGCUCAACUCCAGAACUGCCUUUGAUACUGGGUGGCUUGAAUUCGGGAGAGGGAUGCGGAAUUCCAGGUGUAGCGGUGAAAUGCGUAGAUAUCUGGAGGAACACCGGUGGCGAAGGCGGCGGCCUGGGUUGACACUGACGCUGAGGCGCGAAAGCGUGGGGAGCAAACAGG